UACGUAGGGUGCGAGCGUUGUUCGGAGUUACUGGGCGUAAAGCGUGCGUAGGCGGUGUCUUAAGUUUGUUGUGAAAUCUCCCGGCUUAACCGGGAGGGUGCGGCGAAUACUGAGAUGCUGGAGUGCCGGAGAGGUAAGCGGAAUUCCUGGUGUAGCGGUGAAAUGCGUAGAUAUCUGGAGGAACACCGGUGGCGAAGGCGGCAUCCUGGACCGACACUGACGCUGAUGCGCGAAAGCGUGGGUAGCAAACAGG
rnacentral:rRNA from 1 species